rnacentral:rRNA from 1 species
GACGAACGCUGGCGGCGUGCUUAACACAUGCAAGUCGAACGGUGAAGCGCCUUCCUUUUUGGUGGGUGUGGAUGAGUGGCGAACGGGUGUGUAACACGUGAGUAACCUGCCCCCUUCUUCUGGAUAACCGCAUGAAAGUGUGGCUAAUACGGGAUAUUCUGGGUCUGUCGCAUGAUGGGUCUGGGAAAGAUAUUGUUUCGGUGGGGGAUGGGCUCGCGGCCUAUCAGCUUGUUGGUGGGGUGAUGGCCUACCAAGGCGGUGACGGGUAGCCGGCCUGAGAGGGUGGACGGUCACACUGGGACUGAGACACGGCCCAGACUCCUACGGGAGGCAGCAGUGGGGAAUAUUGCACAAUGGGCGCAAGCCUGAUGCAGCGACGCCGCGUGAGGGAUGGAGGCCUUCGGGUUGUGAACCUCUUUCGCCAGUGAAGCAGGCCUGCCUCGUUUGUGGGUGGGUUGACGGUAGCUGGAUAAGAAGCGCCGGCUAACUACGUG